UAACCCUUUGUUGUCCGACUCUGUUGCCUCCGGGGCGACCCUGCCUUCGGGCGGGGGCUCCGGGUGGACACUUCAAACUCUUGCGUAACUUUGCAGUCUGAGUAAACUUAAUUAAUAAAUUAAAACUUUUAACAACGGAUCUCUUGGUUCUGGCAUCGAUGAAGAACGCAGCGAAAUGCGAUAAGUAAUGUGAAUUGCAGAAUUCAGUGAAUCAUCGAAUCUUUGAACGCACAUUGCGCCCCCUGGUAUUCCGGGGGGCAUGCCUGUUCGAGCGUCAUUUCACCACUCAAGCCUCGCUUGGUAUUGGGCAACGCGGUCCGCCGCGUGCCUCAAAUCGACCGGCUGGGUCUUCUGUCCCCUAAGCGUUGUGGAAACUAUUCGCUAAAGGGUGUUCGGGAGGCUACGCCGUAAAACAACCCCAUUUCUAAGGUUGACCUCGGAUCAGGUAGGGAUACCCGCUGAACUUAAGCAUAUCAAUAAGCG
rnacentral:rRNA from 1 species